GAGAAUUGGGUUUUGCAUGUUGAUAUUAAGUAGAUUCUAUGGCUACUUUAGAAGGCCUAAACCCAUAUCAAGUUCAUAGAGAGCCAAAUCGACAUUGUGAUCCUUGCAAGAUGUUAUGAUCCUUGCUAGGCUGAGGCUAUCAAAUCGAAGAAGAGCUAAGAAAAGCAUUAAAGAGCCUACACUAUUCAACACGAUCUCUCCCUUAUUCAUCAUCAAACGAACAAACCGAACUUGGAGCAACAAUGAACCUUGUGAAGGUGAUGAUAGGCUAGGAAGAGAAAAUUAGGAGCUUGCAAAUGAGAAAAUGUGCUUGAUGCUCUCGAUGACUUAGGUACAACAUUGGGGAAAUGGACCAAAACUACUGUAAUUAGGGUUUUGGGACUGUAUUUUAUUAACUCAACUCAACUCAAC
rnacentral:misc_RNA from 1 species